rnacentral:rRNA from 1 species
UACAGAGGGGGCAAGCGUUUGUUCGGAAUUACUGGGCGUAAAGGGCGCGUAGGCGGCCUGUUAAGUCGAACGUGAAAUCCCUGGGCUCAACCCAGGAACUGCGUCCGAUACUGGCAGGCUUGAAUCCGGGAGAGGGAUGUGGAAUUCCAGGUGUAGCGGUGAAAUGCGUAGAUAUCUGGAGGAACACCGGUGGCGAAGGCGGCAUCCUGGACCGGCAUUGACGCUGAGGCGCGAAGCCAGG